rnacentral:rRNA from 1 species
UCCAGACUCCUACGGGAGGCAGCAGUGGGGAAUAUUGGACAAUGGGCGAAAGCCUGAUCCAGCCAUGCCGCGUGUGUGAAGAAGGUCUUCGGAUUGUAAAGCACUUUAAGUUGGGAGGAAGGGCAGUAAGUUAAUACCUUGCUGUUUUGACGUUACCAACAGAAUAAGCACCGGCUAACUUCGUGCCAGCAGCCGCGGUAAUACGAAGGGUGCAAGCGUUAAUCGGAAUUACUGGGCGUAUUUCGCGCGUAGGUGGUUCGUUAAGUUGUAUGUGAAAGCCCCGGGCUCAACCUGGGAACUGCAUCCAAAACUGGCGAGCUAGAGUACGGUAGAGGGUGGUGGAAUUUCCUGUGUAGCGGUGAAAUGCGUAGAUAUAGGAAGGAACACCAGUG